rnacentral:rRNA from 1 species
UUCCCAUCUGGAAGGAAUACUGGAGACAGGUGGCUGCAUGGCUGUCGUCAGCUCGUGUCGUGAGAUGUUGGGUUAAGUCCCGCAACGAGCGCAACCCUUGCCUUUAGUUGCCAGCAGUUCGGCUGGGCACUCUAAAGGGACUGCCGGUGUUAAACCGGAGGAAGGUGGGGAUGACGUCAAGUCCUCAUGGCCUUUAUGACCAGGGCUACACACGUACUACAAUGGCCGAUACAAAGGGCAGCGACACUGCGAGGUGAAGCCAAUCCCGUAAAAUCGGUCUCAGUCCGGAUUGGAGUCUGCAACUCGACUCCAUGAAGUUGGAAUCGCUAGUAAUCGUGGAUCAGCAUGCCACGGUGAAUACGUUCCCGGGCCUU